UAGAUCCAAAUACCCUAAACUCACUGGCUUAAUUUAUUAGCUUGAAUGGCUGUUUGUCAACCUUAGUGUUCUGCGUUAGAGAAAAUGUGCCAAUCAUCACAGAUGUCUUUACAAUGAAUAUGAGUUCACCACUUUUAGUGAUUAGAUUUUAGAGAGUAACAUCCAAAACAGUGAGCUCCUCCUCUAACAGCAGAGGCAGUGCUUGAUUAAUUAUCACCUUGUGUGAUAAAUGUAAUAGAGACACUUGCAAAGUAUUAUAAAAUCUCUUUGUCCAGAAAGUCAUUUCUAGUCCAGAAGAAAAUAAAUUGCUUUUAAAUAAAUCUUCUGGGAUAGUCAGUGCACAUCUAACUAAUCAACCGGGGAAAAAACUUUAUACAGACACUUCAUUAUAUUACUCCCAAUAUCUCAAACCAAAUAAACCUUCUUCCUUCAACCAGGCCAUUCUCCACAAUGCCAUUAAUCACACCUUGCUCAUCUCUCCAUCUUUUCCAGGGGAGGCUCUGCUCUUCACUUUCAGCUAAGUUAUUGAAGGAU
rnacentral:lncRNA from 1 species